rnacentral:rRNA from 1 species
AGUCGAGCGGACAGAUGGGAGCUUGCUCCCUGAUGUUAGCGGCGGACGGGUGAGUAACACGUGGGUAACCUGCCUGUAAGACUGGGAUAACUCCGGGAAACCGGGGCUAAUACCGGAUGGUUGUUUGAACCGCAUGGUUCAGACAUAAAAGGUGGCUUCGGCUACCACUUACAGAUGGACCCGCGGCGCAUUAGCUAGUUGGUGAGGUAACGGCUCACCAAGGCAACGAUGCGUAGCCGACCUGAGAGGGUGAUCGGCCACACUGGGACUGAGACACGGCCCAGACUCCUACGGGAGGCAGCAGUAGGGAAUCUUCCGCAAUGGACGAAAGUCUGACGGAGCAACGCCGCGUGAGUGAUGAAGGUUUUCGGAUCGUAAAGCUCUGUUGUUAGGGAAGAACAAGUGCCGUUCAAAUAGGGCGGCACCUUGACGGUACCUAACCAGAAAGCCACGGCUAACUACGUGCCAGCAGCCGCGGUAAUACGUAGGUGGCAAGCGUUGUCCGGAAUUAUUGGGCGUAAAGGGCUCGCAGGCGGUUUCUUAAGUCUGAUGUGAAAGCCCCCGGCUCAACCGGGGAGGGUCAUUGGAAACUGGGGAACUUGAGUGCAGAAGAGGAGAGUGGAAUUCCACGUGUAGCGGUGAAAUGCGUAGAGAUGUGGAGGAACACCAGUGGCGAAGGCGACUCUCUGGUCUGUAACUGACGCUGAGGAGCGAAAGCGUGGGGAGCGAACAGGAUUAGAUACCCUGGUAGUCCACGCCGUAAACGAUGAGUGCUAAGUGUUAGGGGGUUUCCGCCCCUUAGUGCUGCAGCUAACGCAUUAAGCACUCCGCCUGGGGAGUACGGUCGCAAGACUGAAACUCAAAGGAAUUGACGGGGGCCCGCACAAGCGGUGGAGCAUGUGGUUUAAUUCGAAGCAACGCGAAGAACCUUACCAGGUCUUGACAUCCUCUGACAAUCCUAGAGAUAGGACGUCCCCUUCGGGGGCAGAGUGACAGGUGGUGCAUGGUUGUCGUCAGCUCGUGUCGUGAGAUGUUGGGUUAAGUCCCGCAACGAGCGCAACCCUUGAUCUUAGUUGCCAGCAUUCAGUUGGGCACUCUAAGGUGACUGCCGGUGACAAACCGGAGGAAGGUGGGGAUGACGUCAAAUCAUCAUGCCCCUUAUGACCUGGGCUACACACGUGCUACAAUGGACAGAACAAAGGGCAGCGAAACCGCGAGGUUAAGCCAAUCCCACAAAUCUGUUCUCAGUUCGGAUCGCAGUCUGCAACUCGACUGCGUGAAGCUGGAAUCGCUAGUAAUCGCGG